UAUAAGGAUAGGCGGUGGGGAUGCUAACCGAGUCAUAAUCAAGCUUAGGCUUGGUAUCCUAUUAUUAUUUACCAAAAGAAUUCAGAAUUAAUAUUGUAACAUAGACCUAAAAAAUCUAUAAAACAACUUUUAACAACGGAUCUCUUGGUUCUCGCAUCGAUGAAGAACGUAGCAAAGUGCGAUAACUAAUGUGAAUUGCAUAUUCAGUGAAUCAUCGAGUCUUUGAACGCAACUUGCGCUCAUUGGUAUUCCAAUGAGCACGCCUGUUUCAGUAUCAAAACAAACCCUCUAUCCAACAUUUUGUUGAAUAGGAAUACUGAGAGUCUCUUGAUCUAUUCUGAUCUCGAACCUCUUGAAAUGUACAAAGGCCUGAUCUUGUUUGAAUGCCUGAACUUUUUUUUAAUAUAAAGAGAAGCUCUUGCGGUAAACUGUGCUGGGGCCUCCCAAAUAAUACUUUUUUUAAAUUUGAUCUGAAAUCAGGCGGGAUUACCCGCUGAACUUAAGCAUAUC
rnacentral:rRNA from 1 species